UACGAAGGGGGCUAGCGUUGCUCGGAAUCACUGGGCGUAAAGGGUGCGUAGGCGGGCCUUUAAGUUAGGGGUGAAAUCCUGGAGCUCAACUCCAGAACUGCCUUUGAUACUGAGGAUCUUGAGUUCGGGAGAGGUGAGUGGAACUGCGAGUGUAGAGGUGAAAUUCGUAGAUAUUCGCAAGAACACCAGUGGCGAAGGCGGCUCACUGGCCCGAUACUGACGCUGAGGCACGAAAGCGUGGGGAGCAAACAGG
rnacentral:rRNA from 1 species